rnacentral:rRNA from 1 species
UACGAAGGACCCGAGCGUUAUCCGGAUUUAUUGGGCUUAAAGGGUGCGUAGGCGGAUUAGUAAGUCAGUGGUGAAAGCCCGUCGCUUAACGGCGGAACUGCCAUUGAUACUGCUAGUCUUGAGUAUGGUUGAGGUGGGCGGAAUGUGUCAUGUAGCGGUGAAAUGCUUAGAUAUGACCCAGAACACCAAGUGCGAAGGCAGCUCGCUAAGCCAUAACUGACGCUGAGGCACGAAAGCGUGGGGAGCAAACAGG